rnacentral:rRNA from 1 species
AUUGAACGUUGGCGGCAGGCCUCAGACAUGCAAGUCGAACGGUAACAGAUCGCUAGGAUCCCUUCGGGGUGACUUUGAUGCUGACGAGUGGCGGACGGGUGAGUAACGCGUAGGAAUCUACCCAGUAGCGGGGGAUAGCCCGAGGAAACUCGGAUUAAUACCGCAUACGCCCUAAGGGGGAAAGGCCGGGAUCUUCGGACCGGUCACUAUUGGAGGAGCCUGCGUUGGAUUAGCUAGUUGGUGGGGUAAAGGCCUACCAAGGCGACGAUCCAUAGCUGGUCUGAGAGGACGAUCAGCCACACUGGAACUGAGACACGGUCCAG